CACACCUUAAACGAUGUAUGCUUGAUGUUGGGGUAGCAAUACUUCAGUGUCGUAGGAAAUCCGAUAAGCAUACCACCUGGGAAGUACGAUCGCAAGGUUGAAACUCAAAGGAAUUGACGGGGGCCCGCACAAGCGGUGGAUCAUGUGGUUUAAUUCGAUGCAACGCGAAGAACCUUACCUGGGCUCGAAAUUUUAGUAGUAGAAUCCUGAAAGGGAAACGAUAGGUUCAGUCCUAAGCUAGAAUAGGUGC
rnacentral:rRNA from 1 species